rnacentral:misc_RNA from 1 species
UUAGUAGCUCUGUGCGCUGUUGUGGCGGUGUCCUCGGCCGGACUCCUGCCCGCUGCUGUACACUACUCCCCCGCCGCCGCUGUCUCCUCCCAGAGCAUCGUACGCCACGACGAGCACGCUGCUCCUAUCGCUAAGGUUGCCGUCGCUGCCCCAGUCGCCUACCACGCCGGUCCCGCCGUCUCCUACCGCGCCGCCCCUGCUGCCGUUACCUACCACGCAGCUCCCGCUGUCGCUUACCACGCUGCUCCCGCCGCCGUAGCCUACCACGCUGCUCCAGUAACUAAAAUUAUUGCUCAACCUGAAGAAAUCGCUCACCCCAAAUACGAGUACUCUUACUCUGUAGCUGACGGACACACCGGUGACAACAAGCAACAGCAUGAGAUCCGCGACGGUGAUAUCGUAAAGGGCUCCUACUCUUUCCUUGAGGCUGAUGGUUCAGUCAGAACCGUAGAGUACUCCGCUGAUGACCACAACGGUUUCAACGCCGUUGUACACAACAGUGCACCAACUGCCGCUCCUGCUAUCAUCAAGGCCGCCCCCGUCGUGGUCAAGUCCCCUGUCUACGCCGCCCCUACUCUCCAGUAUUACCAUCAUUGAUUACAAUCACAUUGUACCAAUAUAACUGAUAAUGAUUUAUUUAUUUCAAUACACACUUAAACUCUAAAAAAUUAGUUUUUCUCAC